AUCAUACCUAUUCGAAAGGAGAUAGAGUCGGUUCGGCCGGAUUUUACACAGGUGUUGCAUGGCUGUCGUCAGCUCGUGUCGUGAGAUGUUGGGUUAAGUCCCGCAACGAGCGCAACCCUCAUCCUUAGUUGCCAUCAGGUAAUGCUGAGCACUUUAAGGAAACUGCCAGUGAUAAGCUGGAGGAAGAUGGGGAUGAUGUCAAGUCAUCAUGGCCUUUAUGAAGUGGGCUACACACGUGCUACAAUGGUGUCUACAAUGGGCUGCAAGGUGCGCAAGCCUAAGCUAAUCCCUAAAAGACAUCUCAGUUCGGAUUGUACUCUGCAACUCGAGUGCAUGAAGUUGGAAUCGCUAGUAAUCGUGGAUCAGCAUGCCACGGUGAAUACGUUCUCGGGUCUUGUACACACUGCCCGUCACGCCAUGGGAAUUGGUUUC
rnacentral:rRNA from 1 species